rnacentral:rRNA from 1 species
AGUGAACGCUGGCGGUAGGCCUAACACAUGCAAGUCGAACGGCAGCACAGUAAGAGCUUGCUCUUACGGGUGGCGAGUGGCGGACGGGUGAGGAAUACAUCGGAAUCUACUUUUUCGUGGGGGAUAACGUAGGGAAACUUACGCUAAUACCGCAUGCGACCUACGGGUGAAAGCAGGGGAUCUUCGGACCUUGCGCGAUUGAAUGAGCCGAUGUCGGAUUAGCUAGUUGGCGGGGUAAAGGCCCACCAAGGCGACGAUCCGUAGCUGGUCUGAGAGGAUGAUCAGCCACACUGGAACUGAGACACGGUCCAGACUCCUACGGGAGGCAGCAGUGGGGAAUAUUGGACAAUGGGCGCAAGCCUGAUCCAGCCAUACCGCGUGGGUGAAGAAGGCCUUCGGGUUGUAAAGCCCUUUUGUUGGGAAAGAAAAGCAGCAGGUUAAUACCCCGCUGUUCUGACGGUACCCAAAGAACAAGCACCGGCUAACUUCGUG